rnacentral:lncRNA from 1 species
UGUCAGAUCCCCGGCGAUGGAAAGCAGUCAACUCAUGGGUAGUAAAAAGAAUGUAUUGACAACACUAUAGGUUUGAAAAGGAAAGUUUUAUUAGAUGGAAAGAACAGUGCAGAAGACCGCAGCAGAGGACCUCAGCAAGAGAGAACUAAAAAUGGUCAAUUACAAAGCACAACAUAAGACUGGAACAUUGGAGUUAAGUAGCAGAGAUCAAAAGAGGAGAUUGCAGAUGGAGGUGUUGUAUGUGACUGUUUUACAUGGAUUCUUCGCUCUGGUAGCAGAUGUUGAAGAAGCUCUAUGAAUGUCCUGUCUCUAUGUCCCAGAAAAAGCAUUCCCAGAAGCACGGAGAAGUGAGGAGAAAAGGCAAUGCACCUGGAGCUGGAGACCAAGGCCCUGUUCUUACUGAUGGCCCUUGGAGCAGAUAUUUGAAUUGGAGAGAUAAAACCGUGGUUUUUGGGGUGUUAAUUUUGGUGGCUGAUGCAUUCUGUGAUUGAUUUGGCUAUUACAACUGGUAUUGAUUUUAAACACAUUAAUUGCAAAAUCUCAAUUGUGAUUUGAUUUCUGUAUUUACAAUACUAAAAACGAGGCUUUCGCCAGGAGAAGACAAUUGGCAGUACUCAGUUGGAAGUGCUUAAUUGUUAAUAUAUAUCAGCCGUGGUUCUUCAGCGUCGUCAGUGUUGCUCAGUCUUGCUCUUUGUGGCGACUACUGAAUGCUUGAAAAAUUCUCUCCUAUACUCCCACUCUGCACUGUAGAAGAGAAAGAGAGGAGAGUGGAAGAAAAAAGAGAGGGAGAGGAGAAAGAAAGAGAGGAGAGAGAAACAUGGGCAUGGAUGAUACAUAAG